AGCGUGGCGACAUGUGGAGCUGACUGAUACUAAUAGAUCGAGGACUUAACCAUA
rnacentral:rRNA from 1 species